GUCUUUUUGAAAUAAUUUAAAGUCUAAUCUGCCCACUGAUAAAAAAUUAAAGGGCUGCAGUAUAAUGACUGUACAAAGGUAGCAUAAUCAAUAGUUUUUUAAUUGAAAACUUGUAUGAAAGAUUUGAUGAAAUAUGGACUGUCUCUAAUUUAUAAAUUGAAUUUUAUUUUUUAGUAAAAAAGCUAAAAUAAAUUUAAAAGACGAGAAGACCCUAUAGAGUUUUAUAUUUAAUUUUAUUUUAAAAUUAUAUAAAAAUUAAUAUUAAAAAUAAAAUUAAAUAUUAUAUUGGGGUGAUAGAAAAAUUAAAUUAACUUUUUUUAAAAAUUAAACAUAAAUAAAUGAUUAUAUGAUCCAUAGAUAAUGAUUAUAAGAAAAAAUUACCUUAGGGAUAACAGCGUAAUAUUUUUUUUUAGUUCAAAUAAAAAAAAAAGUUUGCGACCUCGAUGUUGGAUUAAGAUAAAAUUUAAAUGCAAAAGUUUAAAAUUUUGAUCUGUUCGAUCAUUAAAAUCUUACA
rnacentral:rRNA from 1 species